CACCACUUUGUUCGUCCUUUAUCAACAAAGCCCCGCUAAAGCGACGAUCUUUAUUUGCCACACUGCGACGAGAUACGCCGAGAAGGGCCAACUUGCCGUGAUCGUCAAGUUCUGGAGAGAGUUACAGGGACAUCGUAGAACAUUCUGAAAAAGAAGAAAAUUGUCAUAGUGUCAUCCACAGAAAUUACGGUAAUCCCGGCCGUCAACUAUGGAUCAUUCAAUAAGGAAAUGUUCAGCAUGCUUUGAUGUGAAAAAAGAAAAGGAAAUUGGACAUAGUAUAUGUUUAAUGUCCAACGAGAGAUGAGAGUCUAUAAAUUUGAGAAUUUUUACGCGCUACAUCGAUGAUUAUCCAUUCGCUGAGGCAGUUAUCGUUGAAAUUCCAAACGCCCAUAAGGAAAUUACUUUCACACGAAGCGAAGAGCAGGAAAAGAAGAAGAAGAAGAAGGGUAGAAAGUUAGUCGUGAGAGAGAACGAUAUACAUUCGCGGCUCGUCACUUCCGAUAUUGCUUUUAUAUUGGAUUUUCGUUUCCCGUCGCGGCGUCUUUGAUUGCGGCGCCUCUUUCGGCAAGAAGGAGAAAAACAGACGAUUCCAACUCGGUCCGUUACUCUAUCCGAAAGUACAUGAAAGAGCGUAGGGGGAGAUGUGAAUGCGCGGGUGGGUUGCGUGGCCACUCCGGGGGUUGCGAGGUAUCGAUCGGCAAAACCAGGUGUUACCACACCCAGGAGGCGUCAAUUAAUCCUCACGUGAGAAGCGCGCAAAGCGAUCCUCGCGGUCCACCCGAUCGCUCGAUCGCUCGUUAACAGUUCAAUCGAAUUCGUCGUUCUCUCUGACAUUUCGCGCCCGAUUAAUCCUCGCAGGAUUAAACGCGCCCGAUAAAUCCACGAUAAGACAAAAUGCUGAGCUGAGCAGAAAUAAAAACUCCGAUUACUUUGAAAACUAUCCGCUUUUAGAUCGCAAUCCGGCUCCGAGCGGCACUCCGUCAAGAUCGGGAUCGCGACACGCGUCGAGGGGGCGCAAGAAGGGGGUUCGAGCGUCGGUUGGCGUCGAGCGGCGAGCCGCAAGUCCACUUAUUCUACCUGAGUGCGCCCGCGAUGCCCCCGUCCGAUCCCCUAUAUUGCAUUAAACGCGGUCGAGCGGUCGGCCCUACCUGCGAGCAGGGAUGAAAAGGGGGCAUGCGACGUCCUCGGUCUCGAUGUAAGCAUUGAUGGUACCUAAAUACCUGAUAUGCUCCAGUAUUUAUAAUAAAGGGGUAUUUAAACUUUGAUAAGAUGGACCCUUUCCAAUAUGAUGAAUUUGAUUUUUGCCGUUUAAUUCCCUAUGAAUAAUGCAGCGCUUUGAAAUAGUAUUUCUGGAACAUAAUAAAUGCUCCAAUGCGCGUGUAACUUAUUUACGCGCUGCAGCGUGUAAUGUACACGAAUUUGUUUCAAGAAUUAUUCCAUUACUGUAAUGCAUGUUACACACAUGAUAUACGCGCACACAUACACACGUAUGCAGACACACUAUUUAUGCUACUUCAGGUGCGCGUUAUAAGAUGCAUUAAUAAUUUCCUGCGCGAAUCGAUAUUGAGGAAAAUAUCGAGUGAUACGCUCGCGUGAGAGUAACAAUAUCGACACUCUAUUAAAUUCAAGCGUUCCAAUUGAAACGCGACGCUUUCUUAAGAAGCGCAUCGUCACGAGACGCUCAUAAAUAUCUCGCGUUAUCGCGAGAUCCGAUAGCGGCUAAUUUAUUUACGAAUCGUGCGCUAAGGGUGGCGCACACGCGUGAGUCACGUGCCAUCUGCCAUUCGCUACCCGCUCUAUUAUGACACGCGUAUACACGCACUCCGGCCCAUUAUCCGCGAUGACUGAGUUUUUCCGCCGGCGCGGCGAGCGGACGUGAUUCGACGGACUCGCGACCUGUCGACGGAAUUGCAUCAAAGAUUCAUCGGCAUGAUGGACGAAUGCAGAAGACGUAGUAGCGAUAACAGAUGAGUGUGAAAUUGACCGAUCGAUUCGCACAUUGGCUGACAAAUUCUGUUUUUAGACGAAUGAGAUCAAACUGCGUACUCGAUACAACUCGAUAUAAAACUACCUAUAUGUGAUUAUAUAUUACUUUAAAUUUCUUGUAUUUAUCAUGCUCUUUGUAUUUAAUCAUAUUUUAUUAUUUAUUAUUAUAGAGCGAGCAAUUUAAAUUUAAAAAAAAGGAAAAUUAAAUUAAUCUCACUGAAUAAAAAACCAAGAUAAUACCAAAAAACAUCUAUUACCGUUAGUAACAAUCCUGGAGCUGCGUCGCUUUAGAUCAGAUUCCUUCACUGAUUUCGCGGAAAUUAGUACUAGUAAGUUAAUUACAACAUUAAAGGCAAUCCGAGAUUAGCAAUAAGCUCCGGUAGUAAAUUGGAGCGCGGAAUGCAAAACGCUCUUCGGGGUCAAAGAGCUCGUUGAUGUUCGUAAUAGCAUGCUGCUUCCGCUCUUGCGAUAAGCGGUGUUCGGUAAGUGUACAAACUACCACGACGACGUUCUCGAGAUGUUCAUGCGACACAGUCGAUCCAUUUUCGCUAAUAAGCGCGAUCGAGGGAGGAACAGGCGGGCGGGGAGCUCGUUGAACUUCAAAGCGCGCGCGCGGCGAGUUGUCGCUAACUAAACUGCGAAGCGAGCGAGAGAGGCGAGUUUGCUAUUUCCAAUCCGAGUCCAUUUCGUGAUUAAGCACAAACUUCUAAAGCUACCCCCCGAGAACGUGCGUAAAUACGCGCAACACGCGUACACAGGCAGCGCACAUCCUAUUCACAGCGUCUGCAUCUCCCUUGCCUCACCUACCCCUUGGGUGGGUGGCGGUGGACUCCGGUGGAUCGCGAGGUUCGACUUGCCGGAGAAUAAAUACGAAAAAGUAGCUGAACUCGAGAAUCGAUUCCAACUUUAUUUACUUUGAGUUUUUGAUGAUAUUACAUGUAUAUCAUACUUUUAAUCUUAUCGCGAUUAUGAUUAUCGAUCGAAUCGAUCGCGAAAAAUCGGAGAAAGGUCUCGUAGACGCACGGCUCGGUCGCUCGAGUGGUUUAAGACGUUUAAAGUUGCGCGAAGCGAAAACAAAUCAUCGAUGGGGCCGUCGACGAGGAAGGGUCUCUCCGAUGGGUCUCAUCGAAUAUCAGGUUGCUAAUGGUGUAAGCCAAACCGGCUGCCAUAAAAACGCGCGUCAGGAUAAUUGAACGGUGGACCCUUUCACCGCUAUCCAACAACUUCCUCACGGUUACUCUCAUCGAUCCAUCCCUUUCGUUUCCGCAUCGCCUCUCCCUUUUCUUUCUUUCCUAAUUGCUCGCAAAAUUACACUGCGACGGAACUGAAUCAUACGGAAAUUUAUGCUUCCGGCCGAAGGAAGCCGGAUGCGUUCUCGCGCACAUGUCAUCAUCAGGAUAAGCGUUGGUCAGACGUGCACUUGCAAUCUCGCCAACAAGAGGAUCUUGCUAUUGCAUAAUCUCGUGCUCGGAGAACAGCCGAUUGAAUUUCCACCGCGAACAAAGUCGCGAAUUCGCGAUGAAAUAUAUUUUACAAGUGUUUUACUUGACGCUUGUGAGCUGAGAGUACUUCAUUUGAAGAACAUCAUUCCGCAUUAUCUCUGCAUUUCCAAUCUCGUGCUUAAGAAGAAGAUUAAAUAGAGGAAUGAGGUCAUGCAUUUCGCUUAUUCACGCGCUCUAACAAUAAGUGUACUCUCGGGAGUCAUAAAUGAAAUCGAGAAGCUACGGGGCAAGAGGGGACAAAUCCGCGUGACUUUAACGUAACGUGACGAGAUUGCGCGAUGUCGAAGAACGCUAUUUUUGCACACAAUUUUUCUCGCUUUCUUCGAAGACAUCGCGCGCGUAUUCCGCGGUGUGUACGACGCGGCUUAGCCUUGAUAUCGUCAUCGUCGUCGACAUCGUUGUUGAACCUGACGCAAAUCAGGAAGACAAAUUCGAGGGUGCGAAGCAUUCUUCCACGGGGGUCAAGUUCUCGGUCGCCUCAUUAGAAACGCGAGCGUAAUCCCCGCCCGCUUUGCUCUCCAAUUACUGUUCGCCCGUUCCUGGUUCAAACCAGGUUCAGCCUCACCCCAGUGGUGUAGACACGUUAUCAAUCGCUGAAGAAAAUAAAGAAAAUAACGCGGCUUCAGCUCAUCCCCUUUAAACACUUUCCACGUAGAAUUUCAUAGAGUUUCGCAUAAAGAUGUAAACGACCGUAAUUUCUCUGGAAAAAAGUUUGAUUAACAAUAAACAACAAUUUUUAAAUAAGAGAAUAUGUAAAUAUAUAUUUCUCACGAGACUUUUAUUAAGGAUUUUAUAAUUCUACAAUCUUAUAAUAUAAUACAAAAAUAACACACAAAUCUCAUAGAAGUUUAUAACAAAUGUCGAUAAAGUUGAACAUACAAGUAGUAUUUAAAAAAAAAAUAGAAUUCAUAAUAUAAUAUAACUUACUCGCUUUUUCGCUAUUAUUUGCGUUUUGCAGCGCAAUCAGAUUACUCUCCCAGAUUUGUCGCAAAGUUCAAUAGGCUACGCCACUGUGACGAGGCAGAAAAACCCUCUCCGCUCCCUUCGCCCACGCACAAAGAGUUUGUGCGCGUCGUUCACGCAAAAUCCGUAAUUGCUUCGCACGGUUGCACAUCCCCGACUGUUUGCCAAUUUGCUCGGUUUGCCGCUGUUUGUGUUACACGCUGGGAACAUCACCCGAUGACGGCAGCCAUCGCGACGCGGCGUUCCAUGCCCUGACAAUUUUAACUGUUUUUUUGCAUCAUACAUAUCUCACCAAUUUGCAAUUCUCCAUAGCGUUGCUAUAAAUUUUAAAAAGUAUACUUUUUCUACGCCAAUGUAUACCAUUUUUCACUCCAGUCACGUACAAUGCAUAAACAUAUCACGAAAACUCCACCGUACGACAAUUGAUUCUCGUAAAUGUCUGAAAAGAGUUGAAACAUACACGAUCUCCGAAUUUUACCGAAAUAAAAGUUCCAGAA